GCAGCCUGAUGAUGUCUGCAUGCAGGUUUUUCCAAGUAUCCACACUGUGUUUAUUUUAGACAAGCUCCCUAUAAAAGAACCCACCAGGGCCCCAAGCAUCACACCAUCAAGUUCCAGCUCGUCUGCUUUGCUUCCGUGUUUUCAGAGCUUUGGAGAUCUGACCCAUCCGUCCACCAUGAGGGCUCUUUACCUGGCCAUCGUUGUCAUGAUGCUGAUUGCCACUGCCAUGGUUGAAGGAUACAAAGGCCCGAGCUGUUCUACCUAUGGAGGCUCGUGUAAUCCAAAGGGCUGUGCGAAGGGCUAUACCUACUACUCUACCCACGACUGCAAGUACUGCUGUGUUUCCCCCUACCCAUACAAGGGCUGAAAGGGAGGAAUGGUGGUGCCAGGAGUUGAGAAGGGCUGAGAGAACAUCACCCCACUGCUCAGCUGUCAAGAAGGCAUUCUGUCUCUUCCUCCUCAAUAAAUGCACAUGAAUGCUCAGACCGUUCCCUGUGUCCUUUCUUUCGGGUGGGAAGACUGAGAGCUCAAUGCAGAGAUGGAUUAUUCCCCUUCUUCUGGGAUGGCAUGGUUGUUGCUGUUAUUAGCUUCUUUUUUAUCUCACCAUUCUCCCAAUAAGGGGACUCCAGGCAGCUAACAAUACAUCAAAAUAAAACAAGUCAAUACAAAAACUCCAAGUGUAAAUGGAAGAUUUGAAAAC
rnacentral:lncRNA from 11 species